GUUGCCGGAAGAAGUGGCGAAGUUACUUUUGAGGGUAUUUGAGUAGCGGCGGUGUGUCAGGGGCUAAAGAGGAGGACGAAGAAAAGCAGAGCAAGGGAACCCAGGGCAACAGGAGUAGUUCACUCCGCGAGAGGCCGUCCACGAGACCCCCGCGCGCAGCCAUGAGCCCCGCCCCCCGCUGUUGCUUGGAGAGGGGCGGGACCUGGAGAGAGGCUGCUCCGUGACCCCACCAUGUCCUCUCCUACCACGAGUUCCCUGGAUACCCCCCUGCCUGGUGAGUGACUCUCUUCCCCACCCAGCCCUUAUCACACACGAGCAGAAGCUCACUGUACCUCUCCCGGAUUCCACCCUCUUCCAGGAAAUGGCCCCCCUCAGCCUGGCGCCCCUUCUUCUUCACCCACUGUAAAGGAGGAGGGUCCGGAGCCGUGGCCCGGGGGUCCGGACCCUGAUGUCCCAGGCACUGAUGAGGCCAGCUCAGCCUGCAGCACAGACUGGGUCAUCCCAGAUCCCGAAGAGGAACCAGAGCGCAAGCGAAAGAAGGGCCCAGCCCCGAAGAUGCUGGGCCACGAGCUUUGCCGUGUCUGUGGGGACAAGGCCUCCGGCUUCCACUACAACGUGCUCAGCUGCGAAGGCUGCAAGGGCUUCUUCCGGCGCAGUGUG
rnacentral:lncRNA from 1 species